rnacentral:misc_RNA from 1 species
UUUUCAUUCACUGUAGUGGUGAAAAUAUAAACAGGGUGGUCAGGCAAUCCCAUGCAGGGUUAUCCAAUUUUCACCAAUUCUCACAGCGUUUACUAUUGCCAGUCAUGAUCCUACCAACUAAACUAUUUGAAUUUGGUCACUAACCCAACCAAGCCAGACAGCCAUAUUUUACCAUCAUCCGCAUCCACCAAGCAAUAUACAAACUCUACAAAAGGUUAUUGCCUAAGGCUGCUAUUGAACUUCCUUCCUACCUGUCAGCUGCUUCCCAAGAAGUUGGGAUGGCCAUGAAUCUGCAGGUGUUGGAUAUCUAGCAUGUGGUUUACUCACAUUUGAGGUAGUCACUGGAUAAGCUUGGAGUUCAGGAUGGAGGGGGACAACAAAGACGGCUUGUGCUUGCUGCAAGGUAGCAUCUGCUGCAGGCAACCUGAGAGACUCUCCUGGAAAAUGUUGUGUCAAUUCGGGAUGGUCAAACUCGGGAGGAGGCACAUUCAGGUCAG